ensembl:lncRNA uncharacterized LOC115510018
GCCUUAUGGGGACUGUAGUUCGGAAGCCGACAAUCGCCCCUUAGGUAAGCCUGGGAAGGGCCGCCCGGAGGCUUCUUCUGAGCAUGUGCAGAUCCUGGUGCUCUACCUGGGCGCUCCUUCCGGUUCUCCAGGUCCUUCCGGGGGCGGGUCGUGCCGGCUCCGAGCUGCUCGGGUUCCGCUGUUCGCUGUACUUGGUGCGAAGUGGAAGCGAAGCAGCUCUGGUAUCACCACUCUUGGCCCUUUCUCAAGAGCAUCCGAAAAUGAACAAAUCCCAGCUUCGCAGCGCAAGUAAUCGACAAGCCUCCCGGUCGACGCGCUGCACCGUGACCGAGUCCUGCCGGAAGAAUGCGCACCCCAGUUACACCAGGGUCACGAGAGUCCCCUCGGCACACCUGCCCCCUCUGAAGGUUCAGAGACUUUCUCCCACCACGUGGCUGUUUGCCAGCUACGACGUGUGGAUUUCUAGGCAAGUGCUAUGAGGACUGUGAGGACCGACCGCUUUUCUCGUGACUUCUCUGCCCCCACACUUCUUGAAACUUUUCCUGGAGCAGGAGAAAAUGAACACAUCCCAGGUGAGUCGUUUACUUAUUACUCAAAAUUUUCAAAGAAAUCUAAGAAUUAAUUUUACAUGUUUAGUAACCGUGCUUUCUUUCUUUUUUAAUGGGGAUUUGAGAGAGAGAUCAUGCGAGCGAGUUGGGGAGGGGCAGAGAGACAAGAGAGAGAGAAUCCCAAGCAGGCUCCACACUGUCAGCACAGAGCCUGAUGCAGGACUCGAUCCUACAACCAUGAGAUCAUGACCCGAGCCAAAAUCAAGAGUUGGAUGCUUAACCAACUGAGCCACCCAGGCACCCCAAUAAUUAUUGCAAUUCUAGUAUACGUUUUCUUGUUAUUUUUGUGGUCCCAAGUUUGAAGAUAAAGAGAUGAAGUUAUAAUAGUUAUAAUGUUAUCUAUAAUUUAGGAUGGCUUAUAAUAUUCCAGUCACUGUUGGGGCAUCAGGGUGGCUCAGUCAGUUGAGCAUCCAACUCUUGGUUUCAGCUCAGGUCAUGAUCUCACAGGUUCAUAGGUUCAAGCCCCACAUCGGGCUCUGUACUGACAGUGUGGAGCCUGCUUAGGUUUUUCUCUCUCUCCCUCUCUCUCUGCCCCUCCCAGGCUCACACAUUCUCUCUUUCAGAAUAAAUAAAUAAACAUGAAAAAAAAUUUAAUAAAAAAAAUAUUCCAGUCUCUAUUAAAUUCCUUACCUGGCUUGGCUCUUGAAAUUACAACAACGUUAAAAGGUAGGUACUUUUAUUAUGCCCUUUUUACUGAAAGUAUAAAUAAAAGAUUUAAGUGCCUGUAGCUGGUAUGGUUCUAAGGAUACAUCAUUAGAAAUUUGGCCAGAUAGGGGGCAGCUGGCUGGCUCAGUUGGUGGAAGAUGCACCUCUUGAUCUCAGGGUCGUGAGUUCGAGCCCCACAUUGGGUGUAGCGAUGACUAAAAAUAAAUAAAAGGAAUUUGGCUAGAUAGAUCAAGUUUGUCCUAGAGCCCAAAUCCACAAGGUUUCCACCCAUUCUGGGGAGGAAGAUGCACCUCUUUAUCUCAGGGUCGUGAGUUCAAGCCCCACAUUGGGUGUAGCGAUGACUAAAAAUAAAUAAAAGGAAUUUGGCUAGAUAGAUCAAGUUUAUCCUAGAGCCCAAAUCCACAAGCUUUCCACCCAUUCCGGGGAGGAAGGUACCAUCUGUUUCCAUCCCACCCUGUCCAAAAACUUGCCAUCUCUUAGGCGUGGCAUUGCCAGAUAAGACACGGGGCACGUAAUUAUACUAAAGUAAAGUAUGCAUGGGAUAUACUUAUACUAAAAAUCUAUUUGGUGUUUAACUGGGUGCCCUGUGUUUUUAUUUACUAAAUCUGGGAACGAUACUUCGGUAGAAAGAGGGUGUGACGUACCCUUUGCUGACCCUUAGCUCUGACUGUCCUAGCCCAUCCAGAGGACCAGUCAGUCUCUAUUUUCAGUGGCUGAUUUUAUCACCAUAUUCCAGGUGGCCUGUUGCUGGACAGGACCAGCCUGCCUCAGUUUCUCUGUCAAUCACUCUCCGUCCCUCUCCCAAAGUUUCAAGUGGCCGUCCCUCUCCCAAAGUUUCAAGAAUUCUUGGGCUUCACACCCACAAUGUGUAGCCUUGUCCAAAGAUGAAAAUUUUGCCUACUUACACUUUAUAGAUAUUUUUUAAAGUUUCUUUUUGAGUAUCUUUUUUUUUUUUUAAUUUUUAACAUGUAUUUUUCAGAGAGAGAGACAGAGGGUGAGUGAGGGAGGCACAGAAUCCGAAGCAGGCUCCAGGCUCUGAGCUGUCAGCACAGAGCCUGACGCGAGGCUCGAACCCAUGAACCAUGAGAUCAAGAUCCGAGCCGAAGUCGGUCGCUUAACCGACUGAGCCACCCGGGCGCCCCUCCUUUUGGGUAAUCACCUGCCUCUUCCCUUGCACAGUCGGUAAGUCUCCCUCACUUCGCUGGCUUCAUCAGGAAGCGGUUCUUCCUGCCUGUUCUUCUUCUGUCUGUUCACCACACUGUCCCAGUAGUUGUCUUCCUUCUCCGACUGCUGAGUCCUCAUGGAAGGCUCUGGAGUGUUUUGCACAACGGCUGUGUGGUGAUACGCCUGCUGAGUCUGAAUAUGCGAAAGUACCUUUAUUCCGCCCUGUUACGUGAGUGACCGGCUACAGAACCGGGGUUCGGACUCCCUUCUCCUUCAGGGUGGUCUGGGAAAGCAGGGUCUCCCUUACCUCCCAGCGUCUGGACAGGCUGAGAAGUCGUGUGCCAGUUUGGUCCUCACGCCCGUGCAGGCGACCCGUUCUGUUCUUUCUUGCAAGUUUUUCUUUCUCGGGGGGGUUUGAGCUCUUUCGCCAGGAUGCCCACUUGCCGGCCGGAUGGUUCCUGCCCGUGAAGACCCGCGUGCACCCGGACACUUUCAGUGGUUUGGGGGUUAUUUCCCUCCCUUCCUCCUCUUCGUUCUCACCACCCAGACCUCCUGCGAGGCUGUGGGUGCCUCUCCCCUGCGAUCCGUCUGGGCUCCUUUACUUUUCUGUCACCUUUUCCAUUUUCCUGGGCUUUUGUUCUGUGCGUUGAAAGAUCAGCUCAUUUUUGUCACCCGUGCCAUUUUGUUUUCAAGCCUUCUUUAGAGAGUUUUAGGGUUGGCUUUUCCCCCCGCCAAGUGGACACCAAAAUACUUACUAUCUGGGGAGGCGCCUGGGUGGCUCAGUCGGUUCAGUAAGUGUCUGACUCUUGGUUUCAGCCCAGGUCAUGAUCUCAUGGUUUCAUGAGUUCGAGCCCUGUGUGGGGCUCUGUGCUGACCGUGCAGAGCCUACUUGGGAUUCUCUCUCUCUCUCUCUCUCUCUCUCUCUCUCUGCUCCUCCCCUGUUCAUGCUGUCUCUGUCUAAAUAAAUAAAUAAAUAAAUCUUAAAAAAAAGAUAUAUUCACUAUCUGGGUCCCCCCCCCUUUUUUUUGCCCAUAGUCCACUUUUCUCAUUUUUUUUAAAUUUAAACUCAAGUUAGUUAACAUAUACUGUAAUAAUAAUUUCAGAAAUAGAAUUUAGUGAUUCCUCACUUACAUAUAACACCCAGUGCUCAUCCCAGCAAGUGGCCUCCUUAAAGCCCCUCAUCCAUUUAGCCCACCCCCCACCUCCCCUCCAGCAACCCUCAGUUUGUUCUCUGUAUUUAAGAGUCUCUUGGGGCGCCUGGGUGGCGCAGUCGGUUAAGCGUCCGACUUCAGCCAGGUCACGAUCUCGCGG